GGGGGGGUUCUCCCUAACACGUGCAAGUCCAGCGCUGACUCGUGAAAGCUUGCUCUUCUUGAUGUCGAGCGGUGGACGGGUGAGUAAUGUAUGGGGAUCUGCCCGAUAGAGGGGGAUAACUACUGGAAACGGUGGCUAAUACCGCAUAAUGUCUACGGACCAAAGCAGGGGCUCUUCGGACCUUGCACUAUCGGAUGAACCCAUAUGGGAUUAGCUAGGAGGGGGGGUAAAGGCUCACCUAGGCGACGAUCUCUAGCUGGUCUGAGAGGAUGAUCACCCACACUGGGACUGAGACACGGCCCAUACUCCUACGGGAGGCAGCAGUGGGGAAUAUUGCACAAUGGGCCCAAGCCUGAUGCACCCCUGCCGCGUGUAUGAACAAGGCCUUAGGGUUGUAAAUUACUUUCAACGGGGAGGAAGGUGAUAAGGUUAAUACCCUUAUCAAUUGACGUUACCCGCAGAAGAAGCACCGGUUAACUCCGUGCCACCAGCCGCGGUAAUACGGAGGGUGCAAGCGUUAAUCGGAAUUACUGGGCGUAAAGCGCACGCAGGCGGUCAAUUAAGUCAGAUGUGAAAGCCCCGAGCUUAACUUGGGAAUUGCAUCUGAAACUGGUUGGCUAGAGUCUUGUAAAGGGGGGAAUAAUUCCAUGUGUAGCGGUGGAAAUGCGUAAAGAUGUGAAGGAAUACCGGUGACGAAGGCGUUCCCCCUGAACAAAAGACUGACACUCAGGUGCAAAAAGCGUGGGGAGCAAAGCAGGGAUUAACAUACCCCUGGGUAGUCCACGCCUGUAAAACGAUGUUCAAUUUUAAAGGGUUGGUGGUUCUUUGAAACCGGUGGGCUUUCUGGUAGCCUAAACGCGUUAAAAUCCGACCCGCCCUGGGGAGUACGCCCGCAAGGUAAAACUCAAAUGAAUUGAGGGGGGCCCACACAAGCGGUGGAAGCUUGUGGGUUUUUAAAUUUCCAAGGCCAACGCGAAAAAACCUUUACCUUAUUCCUGGACUUCCAACCAAAUCCUUUUAA
rnacentral:rRNA from 1 species